rnacentral:rRNA from 1 species
UACGGAGGAUGCGAGCGUUAUCCGGAUUUAUUGGGUUUAAAGGGUGCGUAGGCGGGAUGCCAAGUCAGCGGUAUAAAUGCGGUGCUCAACGCCGUCGAGCCGUUGAAACUGGCGUUCUUGAGUGGGCGAGAAGUAUGCGGAAUGCGUGGUGUAGCGGUGAAAUGCAUAGAUAUCACGCAGAACUCCGAUUGCGAAGGCAGCAUACCGGCGCCCUACUGACGCUGAGGCACGAAAGCGUGGGUAUCGAACAGG